GGUGAGUAAUGCCUAGGAAAUUGCCUUGAUGUGGGGGAUAACCAUUGGAAACGAUGGCUAAUACCGCAUAAUGCCUACGGGCCAAAGAGGGGGACCUUCGGGCCUCUCGCGUCAAGAUAUGCCUAGGUGGGAUUAGCUAGUUGGUGAGGUAAUGGCUCACCAAGGCGACGAUCCCUAGCUGGUCUGAGAGGAUGAUCAGCCACACUGGAACUGAGACACGGUCCAGACUCCUACGGGAGGCAGCAGUGGGGAAUAUUGCACAAUGGGCGAAAGCCUGAUGCAGCCAUGCCGCGUGUAUGAAGAAGGCCUUCGGGUUGUAAAGUACUUUCAGUUGUGAGGAAGGGGGUAUCGUUAAUAGCGCUAUCUCUUGACGUUAGCAACAGAAGAAGCACCGGCUAACUCCGUGCCAGCAGCCGCGGUAAUAC
rnacentral:rRNA from 17 species